GUCUCCGGCCCUAUCAACCUGAAGGCCUCUGAUCUCGGAAGCUAAGCAGGGUCGGGCCUGGUUAGUAUCUUGGAUGGGAGACCACCUGGGAAUCCCGGGUGCUCGAGGCU
ensembl:rRNA 5S_rRNA 5S ribosomal RNA